GAUGAUUCAGAGACAAGAAAUGGGGGCUUUUGAAUCCAUUUUACCUGUAGCACCGGCGCCCUAAAAAGGACCAACUGUGUGGAAGGUUGUGCCUGGAGUUGUGAAAAUGCAACAUGGUCUUGAAGGUUGAACAACUCCAUCUGCCUCCCGCAUUUCGAUUCGUCCCGGUUUUUCUAAUUGAGAAGACAUGGUGCCUGUCAUCGGGGUGACCUCCAUGUGAGAGGGGUGCCUGUUUAGCUGUCUCCUGGCUUCUCCUUUGCACUGUGGUCCCUUUAGGUGACAGAGCUGGUUCUUCUAAGUGGCGUAUGCUCAUGCUUACAACUAGAAGAGAUAGAUGUCUAGGGUGCUUCAGAAGUGGACCAAAUUUGGAGUUUCCCCAUGUGGCUCAGUGGCUUAAGAACCCACAUAGUGUCUGUGAGGAUUUGGUUUGAUCCCUGGCCUCACUUAGCGGGUUAAGGAUCUGGUGUUGCUGCAAGCUGUGCUGUGGGUUGUAGGUGCGGCUCGGAUCCAGCAUGGCUGUGGCUGUGGCUGUGGCUGUGGCUGUGGCUGUGGUGUAGGCCAGCAGCUGCAGCUCGACCCCUAUCCUGGGAACUUCCCUAUGCCACAGGUGCGGCCCUAAAGAUCCUGCUGUGCAGCCCUGGGAACUGUAUCUAGUCACUUAGGAUGGAGCAUGAUAAUGUGAGAAAAAAGAAUCUUUACAUGUAUGUGUAACUGGGUUACCAUGCUAUACAGUAGAAAAUUGACAGAACACUGUAAACCAGCUAUAAUAAAAAAAAUCAUCAUAAAAAUAAAUAGAUAAAUGAAAAGAAACAGACUGAGCUUGGACAUGCAUAGGGGUGGACAGGAUGUCCUUGCUCCAAAAACAUUGUUUUGGAGAUUGUGCAUUUAUUAUUACUAUUGUUUUUUGAAGGGCAGGAGGCUUGCAGAAAGUUCUGCAGAGGAGCUCAGAGGAGAAAGAAGAGAGAACGGAAGAACCGAGAGGGCUGUGUUGAGAACUCGUGUUGUGAGGAUUCGAGGGGCUUGUGUUAGAUGUGCAGACCCCAGCCUGGGAGUGUCGGCCUCAGUUGAUCUGGGAUGAGGCCUUGGAAUCUGGAAGUUUAGGAAGAGACUGCUCCGUCCCAUGGAUGCUGGACUUGGCCUUGGGCCUUGCCUUGGCCAAUGGCAUGUUAGCUGAAAUGGCUUGAGCAAAGGCUUUUAAUGGGCUUGCCCUCUUGCACGUCUGUCAUGGCCAUGGGAAAUAUGCCCUGGGUCACCACUGGUCCCCGAGAGUCACCUCAGGUACUGGAAUCAUUGUGGCCCUGCAGCUGGAAGCAGAGCCACCCCAGCAGAGUAUGCUGACAAUCACUAAGUAUUGUGUCCUCUCGGGAUGGUUUCUUAUGCGGUGAUAGCUGACAGAUAUCAAGUUUUUUCCUGUGUGCUAGUUACCUAUGUGAACCCCACUGUCAAAAUUACUAAGAAAGAUGCUCACAACCUGUUCAUCCCUCUAAAAUCGUCACUAGCGUGGAUGUUCACUGUGGACAGAAAUUAUAUUUUUCUUGUCUACUUCACCUAAAAUUCCACCAGGAGCUCAUAAAGUACCUAUGGGAUAAAUAGAUGAACAGAUGAAAGAAAGAAAGAAUAAAUGAGCUCAGUCUGCCCCAAUUCCUUGCCUCCCCUUGGAUCCUCCCAAUUACAUUGUCUUACUUUCUCUUUGAAAAAUUACUCUAAUUUUAACCAGUUAAUCAAUGUUAUCUGCCAGAAUCAAACAUGCAAACCCCUCAAAGCUUAACGAAUACAUACUCGUUCAGUGCUUAGUUAACUAAGCACUCCCCCCACUUUGGUUUAUUUCCAUUUUGUAAUGCAUCUUGUGAUGCAUUUCUUUUUCCCCUGUUGGAAGGACCCGAAGACCAGAGGCGCCAAUGUCAUGCCCGUGUCAACCAGCAGGUGGCGCGAAGGAGACGCAUCCUCUGUGUCUCUUCCUCCCGGUCCAGGGUCACCCCCCCCCCCUUCCCAGUGGGUCCUGCUCCUCCCUGACUGGAUGCUGGGGUUCUGUCUCUGAGAACCUCUGAGUAGUGUCUGAGUCUGGUUCUCUCUCCAAGAAUAUGUCUUUGUCCCCUGGGGUGCAGGAGAAUAGAGUGUUCCUUUUUUUAUGGGCCAGGAAAACGUUAAUGAAAAAUGAACCAUCAGGGAAAUUAAUUUCAAAGAUUUAUGCAUUCCCCGUGACUAACAAGCCUGCACCUGUUCCUUUGACACCCUUUAUCUGAUUCCCCCCUCCCCCCCUUCUUAGAGUUCUCCUCCUUCCCCACAGGCACCUGGUGGGUGCGUUGAGCAGUUAAAUACAUGUACAGUGGGAUACAGACACGGCUUGUUAAUUAAAAAGGUUGCACUGCUGCUUCCCUGCUACGAAGAGAUGAACCAGGCUGAGCAGAAAGAGUUGCCGUCCAGGAGAGGCCGGUUGGGUUUUUACCUGACAUGUAAACGGCGCUGUGUAAAGGGGAUGAGAGCUCCAACGCCUCCCUCACGGGUCAUUUUCUCUCCUGCCCUCCCCUCCUCUGCGUCACGACAGGCACCCUUGUCGGAUAAACCCAAAGAGAAAGGGUCACUUGUUCCGCUUGCUCCCCUCCCACAUCCGUCCACUGUCCUUGGCUCCAGCAUUUUUCUCUCCGUGCCACUGACCCUAAAUCUGUCUUCUGAUCAGCUUAUACAUAGACGAUUCUAUGUUGGACCCCCAAGGACACCGCUUCCCUCUUGGCCUCUCAGGUGGACUCCACGGGUCCCCACCCUACACUCCAUGUAGCUGGGCCCUGGAGGUGGGAUAAAUGGCCUGCACUGACCCCAUUCUUACGUCCAGACGUCUUUUCUUCUCUCCUUUCUCAUAAGCCUUCCUCCUUUAAAGCUCUUGUCUUCCAACCCCCCACCCCACCCCCCGCUGUCCUUGUCAACGUCAUCUGUAGACCUCCUGGUUCUUCCUCUAUCAUUAACGCCUUCACCUGUCUCACUGUCAUCCUUGCCACUUUUCUUGGUAACUUGAACGUCCACAUGGAUCGUGGCUCUCGGCCUUGCUCAGUGGUCAGAGCCCUACCGGAGACCGGUUACAUCAGAAUCUGCAGAGUGGGGCUGGGGUGUCGGCAUUACAAUAAAACAUCUUUCCAGGAGUUCCUUUUCUGGCUCAGUGGAAACAAAUCCGACUAGGAUCCAUGAGGAUGAGGGUUCGAUCCCUGGCCUUGAUCAGUGUGUCAGGGACCCAUCGUUGCCGUGGGUGGGGCAUAGACUGGCAGCUGUAGCUCUGAUUCUAACCCUGGCCUGAGAACUUCCUUAUGCCUCAGGUGUGGCC
rnacentral:lncRNA from 1 species